AUCAUUUGGAUAAGCUACUCUAGUAGUAUGCUAGAGAAGUUGUCUGGGCCAGUCUGAAUGAAGUCUCUUUACUGCAGUACUCAUGGAAAUAGAAACUCAUGGACUGCAUAAUACUGCACUUGGAGUAUUCACCAGAUCAGGAAAGAAAAGUAUUGGAAUAUUGGAGAGGUGGAAUUAAAAUUGCUUGGAGUUACAUGGAAGAUAUCUGCUCACCCAUUUUGAAAAUAGGAGGGAAAUAAAAUGGAAAAAAAAUGAUUGGAGACAAUGGAAGACUUCCAGUAACUCAGCUUUGGAACGGACUUAGUAUUCUGGCUGGAGAUGAAAUAUGUUCUCACUUCCAGCCCUGGGAGUCUCAUUUUUUUGUGGCUUUCUAUAAUGCCAGUAUGUAAAUUAAAAAUUACUCUUUGAGAUCUAGUGAAAGCAAGCUUGUUGGUUUUGGCUACCAGCAUCUGUAAUAUGGCCUCUCUUUCCCAUUAACACUGACUUGUCCUUCUUCACGUUAAAUCCUACACAGUGUUCUUACUUUGAUGCUGCAGUCCAUUUUUGUGGAAUGCUUUUUGAACAGAAGUUUUUCAAUACAUAAGUUUACAGUCCCAAAGAGUAUUCAGAUGCUCUGUUGUAUUAUUGCAUGCAUUUAGUUUUCGGUUUCCAGUUGCAUCCAAGUAAAACAUCUAUACAUUUCUCUGGCAAAAACAUCUUGCAAUUCCUGAGUAGUGUCUGGAUGUAUCUGUUGCCGUAGUUUAUUUGGGCUUUCAUAAAGAUAGCAAAACUGUG